GUUUGAAAACUGAUUUGACAACGACUGCUGAAUUGGCCUGCUCAGAGGAAGAGGCACUAAUGAUUCCAGAAGAGGAAGCCAAAGACAUCAAACACGUCAGCACUGAAGAUCUACUUCAGUGCUGACGUGUAAGAUCUCUCAAUUGCCAUGAUGACCAAGAUAUUCAACGGGGAAAUGUGGAAAGCUGCCAUAUUCCCAGUCAUUACUUUGCCAAAUCAUCUGUGCAGCAGCAGCAGCAGCACCGAGGGAUCCUACUUUCCUGAGUACAAAGCCGGCCAUCAAGGACUUCCCCGACUGGCAACAGACUGGAGCAGAGGCUGUAGCAGGACAGCAUUUAUUUAUUUUUUGCUACUGAAAUAAUUGACAUUAUGAUAGACAGUGGACAAUAUAGUGUGACAAUUAGUUUUUGUUCUCAAACAUGUACACAUAUACAGCUCACAAAUGUGUAGUCAAAAGAGAGAAAUACAGUAUAUUUCAGCGACUCCUACAGUCGCUACAGAAGAAAAAUAAUGAAUUUUCUUAAUAAAUACAUUUUAUUCUUGGCUCAAUUGUUCAGUGUCUUUGGGUUCAAAUAACAUUACCAUGAUCCCAUAGGCAUAAAAUUUUUUAGAAAGUGACGUUUUUUAAAACAUCCUGUUGUGUGCGCAAGCGCCUUUUUAUUACCACGGGUUUACAGACACGUCUCGAAUAAUUGGGUAUCACCUGGAACACAGCCAAUAAUUGAGAGACACACCCACCAAAGACAGAAAACAUAACUUAAGCCGUUGCACACCGUUCCCAGGAAAUGUGCGUGUCCCAGCUCUUUGUCUGAGGGGAAGCCCACAGUCUCAGACUUUAAAAAACACUGGUUUAAGCUUUUAAAAGUGUUUUUGUACAUUAGCCCUUAGUAUAGACCACAGUAGGAUCAGACUGAUCUCAUGAAUUGGCGUAUAUAUGAC